AUUCUCUAUGAUGAUACUCUUUUUUUACUUUUUCUGGUACCUCUUGUUUUAGGAUCUCCUGCGGGAGAAACGAUGAACUCAAUCGGACUUCUGACA
rnacentral:snoRNA from 1 species